rnacentral:rRNA from 1 species
ACAAGCAGCGGAGCGUGUGGUUUAAUUCGAUGUUACACGAAGAACCUUUACCAGGGUUUGACAUGCAAGUGGUAGGAAGCCGAAAGGUGACCGACCCUUCGGGGAGCUUGCACAGGUGCUGCAUGGCUGUCGUCAGCUCGUGUCGUGAGAUGUUCGGUUAAGUCCGCUAACGAGCGCAACCCUCGCUGUGUGUUAUAUGUGUCACACGGGACUGCCGGUCUUAAGCCGGAGGAAGGUGGGGAUGAUGUCAAGUCAGCAUGGCCUUUAUAUCCUGGGCUACACACACGCUACAAUGGCCAACACAAUAGGUUGCUAAGCCGCGAGGUGGAGCCAAUCCUCAAAGUUGGUCUCAGUUCAGAUUGCAGGCUGCAACCCGCCUGCAUGAAGAUGGAGUUGCUAGUAACCGCAGGUCAGCUAUACUGCGGUGAAUACGUUCCCGGGGCUU